rnacentral:sRNA from 1 species
GGCCUCAUUUAUUUUUUAAGGUCUUGGUAUGUGUCUUCAGUAGUAUGUUGCUACCUUAUUUCCAAGAAAAUCUUGCAAAUUCAGGGUUAGACUAAAAUUUUGUUUGGUGAGACUUUUUAUUUAAAAACAAAAACUUUAAAGUGGGGAGGGAAGAACAGUCAUUUAUCACCUUCAUCACGUUUUCACCUGAAGCAAAUGGAGUUCUCCUCCUACUCAGUUCCACCUCCACCUGCCAGUUCCCCUUUCCUCAGCUGUUUCUGUUUUAUAUGGUUCAAUUUUUCAAUAAACUACAUCAUCUUCUACUCUA